UGAGGAAUAUUGGUCAAUGGGCGCGAGCCUGAACCAGCCAAGUAGCGUGAAGGAUGAAGGUCCUAUGGAUUGUAAACUUCUUUUAUACGGGAAUAAAGUGGUCCACGUGUGGGCUUUUGCAUGUACCGUAUGAAUAAGCAUCGGCUAACUCCGUGCCAGCAGCCGCGGUAAUACGGAGGAUGCGAGCGUUAUCCGGAUUUAUUGGGUUUAAAGGGAGCGCAGACGGGGGAUUAAGUCAGUUGUGAAAGUUUGCGGCUCAACCGUAAAAUUGCAGUUGAUACUGGUUCCCUUGAGUGCAGUUGAGGCAGGCGGAAUUCGUGGUGUAGCGGUGAAAUGCAUAGAUAUCACGAAGAACCCCGAUUGCGAAGGCAGCCUGCUAAGCUGUAACUGACGUUGAGGCUCGAAAGUGUGGGUAUCAAACAGGAUUAGAUACCCUGGUAGUCCACACGGUAAACGAUGGAUACUCGCUGUUGGCGAUAUACUGUCAGCGGCCAAGCGAAAGCAUUAAGUAUCCCACCUGGGGAGUACGCCGGCAACGGUGAAACUCAAAGGAAUUGACGGGGGCCCGCACAAGCGGAGGAACAUGUGGUUUAAUUCGAUGAUACGCGAGGAACCUUACCCGGGCUUAAAUUGCAGACGAAUUACUUGGAAACAGGUAAGCCGCAAGGCGUCUGUGAAGGUGCUGCAUGGUUGUCGUCAGCUCGUGCCGUGAGGUGUCGGCUUAAGUGCCAUAACGAGCGCAACCCUCGUGGCCAGUUACUAGCAGGUAACGCUGAGGACUCUGGCCAGACUGCCAUCGCAAGAUGCGAGGAAGGUGGGGAUGACGUCAAAUCAGCACGGCCCUUACGUCCGGGGCUACACACGUGUUACAAUGGGAGGUACAGAAGGCAGCUACCCGGCGACGGGAUGCCAAUCUCCAAAGCCUCUCUCAGUUCGGACUGGAGUCUGCAACCCGACUCCACGAAGCUGGAUUCGCUAGUAAUCGCGCAUCAGCCACGGCGCGGUGAAUACGUUCCC
rnacentral:rRNA from 1 species